AACGCGUGGGAACGUGCCCUUCACUACGGAAUAGUCCCGGGAAACUGGGUUUAAUACCGUAUACGCCCUUCGGGGGAAAGAAUUUCGGUGAAGGAUCGGCCCGCGUUAGAUUAGAUAGUUGGUGGGGUAAUGGCCUACCAAGUCUACGAUCUAUAGCUGGUUUUAGAGGAUGAUCAGCAACACUGGGACUGAGACACGGCCCAGACUCCUACGGGAGGCAGCAGUGGGGAAUCUUAGACAAUGGGCGCAAGCCUGAUCUAGCCAUGCCGCGUGAGUGAUGAAGGCCUUAGGGUCGUAAAGCUCUUUCGCCAGGGAUGAUAAUGACAGUACCUGGUAAAGAAACCCCGGCUAACUCCGUGCCAGCAGCCGCGGUAAUACGGAGGGGGUUAGCGUUGUUCGGAAUUACUGGGCGUAAAGCGCGCGUAGGCGGAUUAGAAAGUUGGGGGUGAAAUCCCAGGGCUCAACCCUGGAACUGCCUCCAAAACUACUAGUCUAGAGUUCGAGAGAGGUGAGUGGAACUCCGAGUGUAGAGGUGAAAUUCGUAGAUAUUCGGAAGAACACCAGUGGCGAAGGCGGCUCACUGGCUCGAUACUGACGCUGAGGUGCGAAAGUGUGGGGAGCAAACAGGAUUAGAUACCCUGGUAGNCCACACCGUAAAACNAUGAAUGCCAGUCGUCGGCGCGCAUGCGUGUCGGUGACACACCUAACGGAUUAAGCAUUCCGCCUGGGGGAGUACGGUCGCAAGAUUAAAACUCAAAAGGAAUUGACGGG
rnacentral:rRNA from 1 species